UAAGGAAUAUUGCGCAAUGGGCGAAAGCCUGACGCAGCGACGCCGCGUGGGGGAUGAAGGUCUUCGGAUUGUAAACCCCUUUCGGGAGGGAAGAUGGAACGAGUAAUCGUUCGGACGGUACCUCCAGAAGCAGCCACGGCCAACUUCGUGCCAGCAGCCGCGGUAAUACGAAGGUGGCAAGCGUUGUUCGGAUUCACUGGGCGUACAGGGUGUGUAGGCGGUUUGGUAAGCCUUCUGUUAAAGCUUCGGGCCCAACCCGGAAAGCGCAGAGGGUACUGCCAGGCUAGAGGGCGGGAGAGGAGCGCGGAAUUCCCGGUAUAGCGGUGAAAUGCGUAGAGAUCGGGAGGAAGGCCGGUGGCGAAGGCGGCGCUCUGGAACGUACCUGACGCUGAGACACGAAAGCGUGGGGAGCAAACAGGAUUAGAUACCCUGGUAGUCCACGCCCUAAACUAUGGAUACUAAGUGUCGGCGGGUUACCGCCGGUGCCGCAGCUAACGCAUUAAGUAUCCCGCCUGGGAAGUACGGCCGCAAGGUUGC
rnacentral:rRNA from 1 species